rnacentral:rRNA from 1 species
CCUCGGGUGGCAGCAGUGAGGAAUAUUGGUCAAUGGGCUUACGCCUGAACCAGCCAAGUCGCGUGAGGGAAGACUGCCCUAUGGGUUGUAAACCUCUUUUGUCAGGGAGCAACGCCGGCUACGUGUAGCCGGACGGAGAGUUACUGAAGAAAAAGCAUCGGCUAACUCCGUGCCAGCAGCCGCGGUAAUACGGAGGCUGCGAGCGUUAACCGGAUUUAUUGGGUGUAAAGGGUGCGUAGGCGGAAGUCCAAGUCAGCGGUAAAAUCGCAGGGCUCAACCACGGUCCGCCGUUGAAACUGGCGUUCUUGAGUGGGCGAGUAGUAUGCGGAAUGCGUGGUGUAGCGGUGAAAUGCAUAGAUAUCACGCAGAACUCCGAUUGCGAAGGCAGCAGACCGGCGCCCAACUGACGCUGAAGCACGAAAGCGUGGGUAUCGAACAGGAUUAGAUACCCUAGUAGUC